AUCUACCUAUCUACCUAUCUACCUAUCCAUUUAUAUAUGUAUUUUUUUUUCUUUUUUUUACUAAAUAGAAAUUGUUUACAUGGUAACUAACAAAGAAGUGCGUUUAUUAUUUGGGAAAUGUUUAUUAUGUUUUUGUGAACUGAAUAUAAAAGAAGAUGAAUUUAUAACAAACGUUAAAGUUAAUAUUUUGAUCUUUCUUUUAUGGAAAAGUUGUUCUACAGAGGGUAGAGCUGCUGAUAUAAGCAAACUAAACAAAUAUAAAGAAUUUUGUCAUUUUGUAAAGUGGGGAGAUACAGAUAGACAGACCAAAGCGUUUUAUGCUUUAUGUUCUUAUUCAUUAAAUGUCACUAAAUUUUUAAACAAUGCUGAUGGAAAAAGCUUUUUAUCAUAUGUAUGGUCACAGAAUGAAACCAUAGCUAGCCAUCUCAUUUAUAAAGUACUUAAACGAUCGAGUCAUGUAUCUUAUGAGAAAGUCGAACAUUAUUCUCAAAUUAUUUAUGCAACCUGGAAGAACUGUACUGGUCCUAUGCAAAAUAUAAUGGAAGGCCAAGUAGAGAUGUUUGCCCAUGCAGCUUUAAAAUCCCCAUUUAAAAUAGCAUCACGUUUUAGACAUAUGCUCAACACAUUUCAUCAAAAUAAGGGGUAAU
rnacentral:lncRNA from 1 species